AUGGUCUGGAAUGUUGCUGGUGUGUUGUUCAGUGCUGGGAUGCUGCUUUGUGGUGGGAUGCUGCUCCACGAUGGGAUACAGCUCCAUGGUGGGCUACAGCUCCUCCAUGGAAUGCUGCUCCAUGACAGGAUAGAGCUCCAUGGUGGGAUGCUGCUCCACCAUAGAAUGCUGCUCCAUGGUAGGAUGCUGCUCCUCCAUGGGAUGUUGCUCCAUGGUGAGAUGCUCUUCCAUGGUGGGAUGUUACUCCACCAUGGAAUGCUGCCCCAUGGUGGGAUGCUGCUCCACCAUGGAAUAUUGCUCCUCCAUGGAACUCUGCUGUUCCAUGGUGAGAUGUUGCUCCAUGGUGGGAUGCUGCUCCUCCAUGGGAUGCUGCUCCUCCAUGGAAUGCUGCUCCAUGGUGGGCUACAGCCCCAUGGUGAGAUGUUUCUCCAAACUGGGAUGCUACUCCAUAGAGGGAUUCUGCCCCUCCAUGGAAUGCUGCCCCUCCAUGGAAUGCUGCCCCUCCAUGGAAUGCUGCUCCAUGGUGGGAUACAGCCCCAUGGCAGGACACUGCUCCACCAUGAGACGCUGUCCCACCACGGGAUGCUGUCCCCCCACGGGAUGCUGUCCCCCCACGGGAUGCUGACCCCCCAUGGGAUGCUGUCCCCCCAUGGGAUGCUGUACCACCACAGGAUGCUGUCCCACCACGGGAUGUUGCUUUACAUUGGGAUGUUCCCACCCCUUCCUGCCCCCACCUCCUCUCCCAUUCCCAUUCCCGCUGCCCCCUCACCCCGUUGGGAAGGGCCAGGGGAGCAGCCCUGGGAGCCGUGGGGCUGCCCCUUCCCAGAGGUGCCUGAUUCCCUGUUUACACACGGCCUGGGCUCCGUGCCAGGCUGGGGAGUUAUUCCCAGGUCUGCUUCAUCUUCUCCCGGCUCUCGGGGGACACACGCCACCUUUCUGGGCUCCUCCUGGGGCCCAUGCUUUUGUGGAUGUGGCUUGUCUCUCCUUCCUGCUGCUAAACCCCUCCUGGCUUUCCCCUGCCCAUCUGUCCUCCUGGGAAACUUUGGGAAUCGUCACUCUGGGAAUCACAAGGUGGGGAUUUAUGUACAAAACGAGCUGGGUGUCACAAAGGGGUUUGGGGGUCUGCGCUGA
rnacentral:lncRNA from 1 species